rnacentral:rRNA from 1 species
CGAGCACGCGCGUGUGGCAUAUCAAUAAGCGGAGGAAAAGAAACUAACAAGGAUUCCCUUAGUAACGGCGAGUGAGGCGGGAAGAGCUCAAAUUUGAAAUCUUCAAGGUUCUACCUUGACGAAUUGUAGUUUAUAGAAGUGUUUUCUGUUAGUGGAGUGGCAAAAGUUCUUUGGAAUAGGACAUCAUAGAGGGUGAGAAUCCCGUAUUUGGUCAUUCCUCCUAGCGUUGUGAUACACUUUUAACGAGUCGGAUUGUUUGGGAAUGCAGUCCAAAAUGGGUGGUAAAUUUCAUCUAAAGCUAAAUAUUGGCGAGAGACCGAUAGCGAACAAGUACCGUGAGGGAAAGAUGAAAAGGACUUUGAAAAGAGAGUUAAACAGUACGUGAAAUUGUCAAAAGGGAAGCGUUUGACACCAGUGUUGUUUUUCCGAAAAUCAAUUACGAAUGUUUUAUUUUUGAGGAGUUAUGACUUCAUCGGCUUGCUCCUUUCUUUACGAAACUUUCUUAAUGCACUUUUCGGUUAACAAGUCAACAUCAAUUUCUUUUGUUGUAAAAGGGUAUGAGGAAGGUGGCUUUCUUUUCGGAGAAAGUGUUUAUAGCCUUGUGCCUCUGCAAUCGGAGAGAUUGAGGUCUGCAGCGUAGAUCCUUCGGGGUUAGAUACAUUUGUGCUAAGUUAUAGCUUUUCAUAGACAACUUGUUGACUAUGUUUAGUCUUGUAGCUUACUCGCUUAUGCUAUUUUACCUACGCUUAGGAUGUUGAGCGCAUGUCUCUCUCU